CCUCCCGUAGGCAGCAGUGGGGAAUAUUGGGCAAUGGGCGCAAGCCUGACCCAGCAACGCCGCGUGAAGGAAGAAGGCUUUCGGGUUGUAAACCUCUUUUUUCAGGGACGUAGCAAGUGACGGUAGCUGAUGUAUAAGCCACGCCUAACUAUGUGCCAGCAGCCGCGUGAAUACGUAGGUGGCAAUCGUUAUCCGGAUUUACUGGGUGUAAAGGUCGUGUAGGCGGGAGUGCAAGUCAGAUGUGAAAACUAUGGGCUCAACCCAUAGCCUGCAUUUGACACUGUACUUCUGGAGUGCUGGAGAGGCAAUCGGAAUUCGGGGUGUAGCGGUGAAAUGCGUAGAUAUACGGAGGAACACCGGUGGCGAAGGCGGAUUGCUGGACAGUAACUGACGCUGAGGCGCGAAAGCGUGGGGAGCAAACAGGAUUAGAUACCCUAGUAGUC
rnacentral:rRNA from 1 species